CUUUCGGAGCUGUGCGGCAUUCUGAGCAGGAAUGGCAGUGUGGACCUCUGUGAUGGGACAUCUUGUGGGAUCUCACAGCCAGUUCUGUGGCAAAGGAGGAUGAAGGCUUACGAGGAAGCUGGAUAACAGAGCGAGCGCAAUGUGCUAGAAUAGAAGACCAGAAAAUGAAAUGGUGGAGUUUGAGGCUGGAUAGACAGUUUGAAAGUUAACUGGUUGCAUGCUUGUUCAUUUGGCUGGCUUGCUUGGGUACAAAUAAUGGUUUGAAUAAAGAAAGGUAUUAAUGGGUCACCUCAAGUGAAGGCACUGCAAACACAAUGAUUGGUCAUUCUGAAUUUCCGGUCCUUCAUUCUGAAUUUCAAAGGCUCCUGUGACAAGUGGACAUGCAGUGACUGCACCUUUGUUUCUGAGGUGCCUGGAUGGAGGCUCAAAUAGAAGAUGGUGUCAGAUAUAUUGUGUUAAAAUUUUACCAUUAAAGUGUAUUAUAACAUGAA
rnacentral:lncRNA from 1 species